UGACGGGAAGCAUUAAGUUGGAUGCAUACAGUUUCGGCCUGUAAGAAGGAGUUUUAUUCCCCUGUUAUU
rnacentral:tRNA from 1 species